ensembl:lncRNA
UAGAGGUAAUGUUUUCUUCAGUUUGUGUCAUCAUGUUGAUACUCUUCCUCUUGAUUCAAAUAUUUGUAUGUAAGUUCUCACUCUGACCUAAGUCGCGGCUCGGUGCGAAUGAAUGACUUCCUGGAUUUUAAUGAAAAAAAUGACCGAUAUCAUUGGGAAAUAUUAGGCUAGGUGGAACUGGCAGAGGGUGUUAAACUCCAGGUGAACAUUAUCACUCGACUGAGCAAGGAACCAUCAAAGCUCAUGACAGCUCUGUUUCCCAGAGAGGUGAUGGCCGUCUCUUCGUUGACAGGAAAACAUUUGAAUGUAUUCUGGGACCAGGAGGCACAGAAAAAAGCUGUGCCCAACCAAAGUGCCAUUUGCACCUUUUAUUUAGGCAAAACCAGAUGGAGGAGAAGGAUGUCUUUAAAAUAUAUUAAUUAAAGCUUGAAUCGAAAUUGCUUAAGAAGUUCAAGAUUUAGGUUUAAAACGGCUUUUUUUUACUCAAAGGGAGUAACUUGGAGGCUAAGGCCUAACUUUUGAUUCGUUAACUCAGUGAAAAAGUAUUAAAGUUGAUCAUCU